rnacentral:rRNA from 1 species
UGGGGAAUAUUGCGCAAUGGGCGAAAGCCUGACGCAGCGACGCCGCGUGGGUGAUGAAGGCCUUCGGGUCGUAAAACCCUGUCGGGUGGAACGAAUCUCCGCUCGGUGAAUAAUCGGGCGGAUUGACGGUACCACAGAAGGAAGCCCCGGCUAACUACGUGCCAGCAGCCGCGGUAAUACGUAGGGGGCGAGCGUUGUUCGGAUUUACUGGGCGUAAAGAGCGCGUAGGUGGUUCGAUAAGUCGGAGGUGAAAUCCCUCGGCUCAACCGAGGAGCCGCGGCCGAUACUGUAGGACUUGAGUGCAGGAGAGGAGAGCGGAAUUCCCAAUGUAGCGGUGAAAUGCGUAGAUAUUGGGAGGAACACCGGUGGCGAAGGCGGCUCUCUGGACUGCUACUGACACUGAGGCGCGAAAGCUAGGGGAGCAAACG